AUGGAUCCCACCGUCCCCAACCCCGGCGACCACGCCGCCUCCACCCCCACCAACACCACCGUGACCCUCCCGCCGCUCACCCUCCGCGACGCGCCGCGGCUCCCCGCCUCGCCCUCCGGCGCCACCGCGGUCCCCAACCCGAUCUCCAGCCACCCCUACUUCCACCCGCCCCCCACCUUCUACAUCUCCCCGGGGGACGUCUCCCUCCGCCACGCCUUCUUCGACCUCUCCUCCGGGAGCCCGAACCCGCUGGUCGCGUACCGCCGCGCGGGCCCCCGCGAGAGCCUCGCCGUCAACCCGGCCCGCGCCCGCGCCGCCCUCGUCACCUGCGGGGGGCUCUGCCCGGGCCUCAACACCGUGCUGAGGGAGCUCGUCGUGGGGCUCCAUGAGCUCUACGGCGUCCUCGACGUCUUCGGCGUCGCCGCGGGGUACCGCGGGUUCUACGGCGCUGACGACGACCACGUGCGGCUGGACCCGGCCUCCGUGGACGACUGGCACAAGAAGGGCGGCACCGCGCUCAAGACGACACGUGGUGGCUUUGAUCUUAACAAGAUCGUCGAUGGCAUCGUCGCGCGCGGGUAUACGCAGGUCUAUGCGAUUGGCGGGGAUGGAACCAUGAGAGGAGCAGUGGCGAUAUUCGAAGAGUUUAAACGGCGUGGUUUGAGGAUCUCCAUUACAGGGAUCCCCAAAACCGUGGACAACGACAUCGGUAUCAUAGACAGGUCGUUUGGGUUUCAAACUGCAGUGGAGAUUGCUCAGCAGGCGAUCGACGCGGCACAUGUGGAGGCUGUGAGCGCUGUGAAUGGCAUCGGUCUUGUCAAACUCAUGGGCAGGAGUACGGGUCACAUUGCUCUUCAUGCCACCCUGAGCAGCCGAGAUGUUGACUGCUGUUUGAUUCCUGAGAUUGAUUUCCACGUUGAAGGGAAGGGAGGCCUGUUUGAGUUCCUGUAUGAAAGGAUAAAGAAGAAGGGACAUGCUGUCGUCGUCGUUGCUGAAGGCGCUGGUCAGGAGGUGAUUCCCCGGACUGAUGACCAGAAGCGCGAGCAGGAUGAGUCUGGCAACAUGCUGUUCCUUGAUGUUGGCCCCUGGCUGAAAUCUGAGCUGGGUAGAUGGUGGAAGAGAGAACACCCCACUGAGUUGUUCACUGUGAAGUAUAUCGAUCCUACCUACAUGAUUCGAGCAGUCCCAGCAAAUGCUACUGAUAAUCUAUAUUGUACCCUGUUGGCGCAUUCAGCCAUCCAUGGGAUCAUGGCUGGGUUCACUGGCUUCGUACCUGGCCCGAUAAAUGGGAAUUACAGCUACAUACCACUGGAAGAUAUUGCCGUGGCCAAGAACCCAGUGGAUGUGAAUGAUCACAAAUGGGCAUGGGUUAGAUCAGUCACAGACCAGCCUGAUUUCCUAAAGCCCUAA
rnacentral:rRNA from 1 species